GAUGAAGAACGUAGUGAAAUGCGAUAAGUAAUGUGAAUUGCAGAAUUCAGUGAACCAUCGAAUCUUUGAACGCACAUUGCGCCCGCUGGAACUCCGGCGGGCACGCCUGUCCGAGCGUCAUUUCAACCCUCAGGCCCCCCUUCGCGGGCGGGCCUGGUGUUGGGGCCCGGCCGCUACCCCGCGGCCGUCCCCUAAAUCCAGUGGCGGCCUCGCCGUGAUCCCUUGCGUAGUAAUGCACCUCGCACCGGAGAGCGCCGUGGCCACGCCGUAAAACCCCCAAUUUUCAAUGGUUGACCUCGGAUCAGGUGGGAAUACCCGCUGAACUUAAGCAUAUCAAUAAGCGGAGGA
rnacentral:misc_RNA from 1 species